rnacentral:siRNA from 1 species
UAACGUUACCUGCCAGCCGGCCUC